rnacentral:rRNA from 1 species
GACGAACGCUGGCGGCGUGCUUAACACAUGCAAGUCGAACGGCAAGGCCCUGCUUUUGUGGGGUGCUCGAGUGGCGAACGGGUGAGUAACACGUGAGUAACCUGCCCUUGUCUUUGGGAUAACUUCAGGAAACUGAGGCUAAUACCGUAUCGGAGCUCCUGCUCCAUGGUGGGGGUUGGAAAGUUUCGGCGGUUGGGGAUGGACUCGCGGCUUAUCAGCUUGUUGGUGGGGUAGUGGCUUACCAAGGCUUUGACGGGUAGCCGGCCUGAGAGGGUGACCGGCCACAUUGGGACUGAGAUACGGCCCAGGCUCCUACGGGAGGCAGGAGUGGGGAAUAUUGCAAAAUGGGCGGAAGCCGGAUGGAGGAACGCCGCGUGCGGGAGGACGGCCUUCGGGUUGGAAACCGCUUUCGCCUGUGACGAGGCGUGAGUGAGGGUAAUGGGUAAAGAAGCACCGGCUAACUACGG